rnacentral:rRNA from 1 species
UACGUAGGGGGCAAGCGUUGUCCGGAUUUAUUGGGCGUAAAGAGCGUGUAGGCGGUUUGGUAGGUCCGCUGUGAAAACUCGAGGCUCAACCUCGAGACGCCGGUGGAAACCAUCAGGCUAGAGUCCGGAAGAGGAGAGUGGAAUUCCUGGUGUAGCGGUGAAAUGCGCAGAUAUCAGGAAGAACACCAAUAGCGAAGGCAGCUCGCUGGGACGGUACUGACGCUAAGGCGCGAAAGCGUGGGGAGCGAACAGG